rnacentral:rRNA from 1 species
AUUGAACGCUGGCGGCAGGCCUAACACAUGCAAGUCGAGCGAGCGGCGGACGGGUGAGUAAUGUAUGGGGAUCUGCCUGAUGGAGGGGGAUAAAUACUGGAAACGAUAGCUAAUACCGCAUACCAUCAGAUCAACCAAUAUGGGAUUAGCUAGUAGGUGAGGUAACGGCUCACUGAGGCGACGAUCCCUAGCUGGUCUGAGAGGAGGAUCAGCCAACCUGGAACGGAGACACGGCCCAGACUCCUACGGGAGGCAGCAGUGGGGAAUAUUGCACAAUGGGGGCUAGCCUGACGCAGCCAUGCCGCGGGAAUGAAGAAGGCCUUCGGGUUGUAAAGUUCUUUCGGGAGCGAGGCGUUACCUACAGAAGAAGCACCGGCUAACUCCGUGCCAGCAGCCGCGGUAAUAC